GGGAAGCAAAGCCAACUAAGCUGCCCCUGACUGAUGGACUUCCUCCAGAAAUACUUAAUUCAAAUUCUCCAAGAAAGGAUCUGAUUGGCUGGCUGGUCAAGAGCUCUUGCUGGGCUGAAUGCCCUGUCUAGGCUGCCUCAUGGGCCACAGGCCGGCUUGUGAGAAAAGUGUCUCCAACUCAAAUGCCAACCUCCAUUACAGCCACAAGGUCAAGCAAGCAGCGCAGAGCUGGAUCAUUUACCCGGGCCACCAAAAACCACCAUAAGGAUGGACCAGGCAAAGCUAGUAAUCUGAUGCCAUCAUGUGGUCGGCACUCAGGCACCCAUAACCAGGGACAGGCACUACACUAAUUGCCUCCCACACGGCAAGGCAUUUCAGUCUUCAAAAUAACACCACCGUACAGCAGCACCAGGUGUACAGUAAGGAUCAAAAUAAAAACUCUGGGGCGUCCGCGCAGCAAGCAGCCCAUGCUUGACGUCUUCCCUUCGGCAUACGGAUCUGUGUCAUUCUGAGAACUUGACAGACGACUCUAAGAAUCUCCUCCAGAGACAUCACCCGUGGGACUUGGAACAGGGCA